rnacentral:rRNA from 1 species
CCUACGGGGGGCUGCAGUGGGGAAUAUUGGACAAUGGGGGGAACCCUGAUCCAGCCAUGCCGCGUGUGUGAAGAAGGCCCUCGGGUUGUAAAGCACUUUCAGUGAGGAAGAACGCCUGGUGGUUAAUACCCAUCAGGAAAGACAUCACUCACAGAAGAAGCACCGGCUAACUCCGUGCCAGCAGCCGCGGUAAUACGGAGGGUGCGAGCGUUAAUCGGAAUUACUGGGCGUAAAGCGCGCGUAGGUGGCUUGAUAAGCCGGUUGUGAAAGCCCCGGGCUCAACCUGGGAACGGCAUCCGGAACUGUCAAGCUAGAGUGCAGGAGAGGAAGGUAGAAUUCCCGGUGUAGCGGUGAAAUGCGUAGAGAGCGGGAGGAAUACCAGUGGCGAAGGCGGCCUUCUGGACUGACACUGACACUGAGGUGCGAAAGCGUGGGUAGCAAACAGGAUUAGAUACCCCUGUAGUC